rnacentral:rRNA from 1 species
UACGUAGGGGGCGAGCGUUGUCCGGAUUCAUUGGGCGUAAAGAGCUCGUAGGCGGCCUGUUGCGUCCGCUGUGAAAGCCCGGGGCUUAACCCCGGGUCUGCAGUGGAUACGGGCAGGCUAGAGGUAGGUAGGGGAGAAUGGAAUUCCCGGUGUAGCGGUGAAAUGCGCAGAUAUCGGGAGGAACACCGGUGGCGAAGGCGGUUCUCUGGGCCUUACCUGACGCUGAGGAGCGAAAGCGUGGGGAGCGAACAGG